CAGACGAGGUGGCGAGGUGUCAGUAGGGGCCCAUGCUGACCCUGCGUUAUAAAUCCUCGGUUGUGGUGACUGCUCAGUCUAUGAAUAGCGGAAGAAGAGGGCACCGAGGACGGCGCCGUGGUCAGUCUGGCCGUGUUAUGAAGAACCUCCUUAGAAGUGCAACGAGACUUAUGAAGAUAGCUGUCAUCUUUUGAUUGUCAUGGAUACAUCACGUCAAACAAUCAUUAAUUAAUUGUUGAUAUCUCAAGCUCUACAAUUUCGAUAUCUUCCUACGAUUAUAUUAUUCCAAAUUGCC